GUCCCUGUAGCGCCAUAGAUAGCACGUUGGAUUUAUAAUCCAAAGGUCGUGGAUUCGAAUGCCACCUGGAAUG
rnacentral:tRNA from 1 species